GAUGAACGCUGGCGGCGUGCCUAAUACAUGCAAGUCGAGCGAACAGACGAGGAGCUUGCUCCUCUGACGUUAGCGGCGGACGGGUGAUUAACACGUGGAUAACCUACCUAUAAGACUGGGAUAACUUCGGGAAACCGGAUCUAAUACCGGAUAAUAUAUUGAACCGCAUGGUUCAAUAGUGAAAGACGGUUUUGCUGUCACUUAUAGAUGGAUCCGCGCCGCAUUAGCUAGUUGGUAAGGUAACGGCUUACCAAGGCAACGAUGCGUAGCCGACCUGAGAGGGUGAUCGGCCACACUGGAACUGAGACACGGUCCAGACUCCUACGGGAGGCAGCAGUAGGGAAUCUUCCGCAAUGGGCGAAAGCUUGACGGAGCAACGCCGCGUGAGUGAUGAAGGUCUUCGGAUCGUAAAACUCUGUUAUUAGGGAAGAACAAAUGUGUAAGUAACUAUGCACGUAUUGACGGUACCUAAAGAGAAAGCAACGGCUAACUACGUG
rnacentral:rRNA from 1 species